rnacentral:rRNA from 1 species
GACGAACGCUGGCGGCGCGCCUAACACAUGCAAGUCGAACGGAGCUGAGAGAAGCUUGCUUUUCUUAGCUUAGUGGCGAACGGGUGAGUAACGCGUGCGUAACCUGCCCUGGAGAGGGGGACAACAGUUGGAAACGACUGCUAAUACCGCAUAAGCCCACGAUCCGGCCUCGGAUUGAGGGAAAAGGAUUUAUUCGCUUAAGGAUCGACCCGCGUCCAAUUAGCUAGUUGGUGAGGUAACGGCCCACCAAGGCGACGAUUCGUAGCCGGACUGAGAGGUUGAACGGCCACAUUGGGACUGAGACACGGCCCAGACUCCUACGGGAGGCAGCAGUGGGGGAUAUUGGACAAUGGGGGAAAGCCUGAUGCAGCGACGCCGCGUGGAGGAAGAAGGUUUUCGGAUUGUAAACUCCUGUUGUUAGGGACGAUAAUGACGGUACCUGACAAGAAAGCACCGGCUAACUACGUG